UUAAGCGACUAAGCGUACACGGUGGAUGCCCUGGCAGUCAGAGGCGAUGAAGGGCGUGCUAAUCUGCGAUAAGCGCCGGUAAGGUGAUAUGAACCGUUAUAACCGGCGAUACCCGAAUGGGGAAACCCAGUGUGACUCGUCACACUAUCAUUAACUGAAUCCAUAGGUUAAUGAGGCGAACCGGGGGAACUGAAACAUCUAAGUACCCCGAGGAAAAGAAAUCAACCGAGAUUCCCCCAGUAGCGGCGAGCGAACGGGGAGGAGCCCAGAGCCUGAAUCAGCAUGUGUGUUAGUGGAAGCGUCUGGAAAGGCGCGCGAUACAGGGUGACAGCCCCGUACACAAAAGCGCAUGUGCUGUGAGCUCGAUGAGUAGGGCGGGACACGUGGUAUCCUGUCUGAAUAUGGGGGGACCAUCCUCCAAGGCUAAAUACUCCUGACUGACCGAUAGUGAACCAGUACCGUGAGGGAAAGGCGAAAAGAACCCCGGCGAGGGGAGUGAAAAAGAACCUGAAACCGUGUACGUACAAGCAGUGGNNNNNGUGACUGCGUACCUUUUGUAUAAUGGGUCAGCGACUUAUAUUCUGUAGCAAGGUUAACCGAAUAGGGGAGCCGGAGGGAAACCGAGUCUUAACCGGGCGUUAAGUUGCAGGGUAUAGACCCGAAACCCGGUGAUCUAGCCAUGGGCAGGUUGAAGGUUGGGUAACACUAACUGGAGGACCGAACCGACUAAUGUUGAAAAAUUAGCGGAUGACCUGUGGCUGGGGGUGAAAGGCCAAUCAAACCGGGAGAUAGCUGGUUCUCCCCGAAAGCUAUUUAGGUAGCGCCUCGUGAAUUCAUCUCCGGGGGUAGAGCACUGUUUCGGCUAGGGGGCCAUCCCGGCUUACCAACCCGAUGCAAACUGCGAAUACCGGAGAAUGUUAUCACGGGAGACACACGGCGGGUGCUAACGUCCGUCGUGAAGAGGGAAACAACCCAGACCGCCAGCUAAGGUCCCAAAGUCAUGGUUAAGUGGGAAACGAUGUGGGAAGGCCCAGACAGCCAGGAUGUUGGCUUAGAAGCAGCCAUCAUUUAAAGAAAGCGUAAUAGCUCACUGGUCGAGUCGGCCUGCGCGGAAGAUGUAACGGGGCUAAACCAUGCACCGAAGCUGCGGCAGCGACGCUUAUGCGUUGUUGGGUAGGGGAGCGUUCUGUAAGCCUGUGAAGGUGGCCUGUGAGGGUUGCUGGAGGUAUCAGAAGUGCGAAUGCUGACAUAAGUAACGAUAAAGCGGGUGAAAAGCCCGCUCGCCGGAAGACCAAGGGUUCCUGUCCAACGUUAAUCGGGGCAGGGUGAGUCGACCCCUAAGGCGAGGCCGAAAGGCGUAGUCGAUGGGAAACGGGUUAAUAUUCCCGUACUUGGUGUUACUGCGAAGGGGGGACGGAGAAGGCUAUGUUGGCCGGGCGACGGUUGUCCCGGUUUAAGCGUGUAGGUGUGUGUUCCAGGUAAAUCCGGUUCACUUUAACACUGAGGCGUGACGACGAGGCACUACGGUGCUGAAGCAACAAAUGCCCUGCUUCCAGGAAAAGCCUCUAAGCAUCAGGUAACAUCAAAUCGUACCCCAAACCGACACAGGUGGUCAGGUAGAGAAUACCAAGGCGCUUGAGAGAACUCGGGUGAAGGAACUAGGCAAAAUGGUGCCGUAACUUCGGGAGAAGGCACGCUGACACGUAGGUGAAGUGAUUUACUCAUGGAGCUGAAGUCAGUCGAAGAUACCAGCUGGCUGCAACUGUUUAUUAAAAACACAGCACUGUGCAAACACGAAAGUGGACGUAUACGGUGUGACGCCUGCCCGGUGCCGGAAGGUUAAUUGAUGGGGUCAGCGCAAGCGAAGCUCCUGAUCGAAGCCCCGGUAAACGGCGGCCGUAACUAUAACGGUCCUAAGGUAGCGAAAUUCCUUGUCGGGUAAGUUCCGACCUGCACGAAUGGCGUAAUGAUGGCCAGGCUGUCUCCACCCGAGACUCAGUGAAAUUGAACUCGCUGUGAAGAUGCAGUGUACCCGCGGCAAGACGGAAAGACCCCGUGAACCUUUACUAUAGCUUGACACUGAACAUUGAGCCUUGAUGUGUAGGAUAGGUGGGAGGCUUUGAAGUGUGGACGCCAGUCUGCAUGGAGCCGACCUUGAAAUACCACCCUUUAAUGUUUGAUGUUCUAACGUGGACCCGUGAUCCGGGUUGCGGACAGUGUCUGGUGGGUAGUUUGACUGGGGCGGUCUCCUCCUAAAGAGUAACGGAGGAGCACGAAGGUUGGCUAAUCCUGGUCGGACAUCAGGAGGUUAGUGCAAUGGCAUAAGCCAGCUUGACUGCGAGCGUGACGGCGCGAGCAGGUGCGAAAGCAGGUCAUAGUGAUCCGGUGGUUCUGAAUGGAAGGGCCAUCGCUCAACGGAUAAAAGGUACUCCGGGGAUAACAGGCUGAUACCGCCCAAGAGUUCAUAUCGACGGCGGUGUUUGGCACCUCGAUGUCGGCUCAUCACAUCCUGGGGCUGAAGUAGGUCCCAAGGGUAUGGCUGUUCGCCAUUUAAAGUGGUACGCGAGCUGGGUUUAGAACGUCGUGAGACAGUUCGGUCCCUAUCUGCCGUGGACGUUUGAGAUUUGAGAGGGGCUGCUCCUAGUACGAGAGGACCGGAGUGGACGAACCUCUGGUGUUCCGGUUGUCACGCCAGUGGCACUGCCGGGUAGCUAUGUUCGGAAGAGAUAACCGCUGAAAGCAUCUAAGCGGGAAACUUGCCUCAAGAUGAGAUCUCACUGGAGCCUCGAGCUCCCUGAAGGGCCGUCGAAGACUACGACGUUGAUAGGCAGGGUGUGUAAGCGUUGUGAGGCGUUGAGCUAACCUGUACUAAUUGCCCGUGAGGCUUGACCAU
rnacentral:rRNA from 1 species